rnacentral:rRNA from 1 species
UGCGAAGGGUGCAAGCGUUACUCGGAAUUACUGGGCGUAAAGCGUGCGUAGGCGGUUAGUUAAGUCUGUCGUGAAAGCCCAGGGCUCAACCUGGGAAUGGCGAUGGAUACUGGUUAGCUAGAGUGUGUCAGAGGAUGGUGGAAUUCCCGGUGUAGCGGUGAAAUGCGUAGAGAUCGGGAGGAACACCAGUGGCGAAGGCGGCCAUCUGGGACAACACUGACGCUGAGGCACGAAAGCGUGGGGAGCAAACAGG